UACGUAGGGUGCAAGCGUUAAUCGGAAUUACUGGGCGUAAAGCGUGCGCAGGCGGCUUUGCAAGUCAGAUGUGAAAUCCCCGGGCUUAACCUGGGAACUGCAUUUGUGACUGCAUGGCUAGAGUGCGGCAGAGGGGGAUGGAAUUCCGCGUGUAGCAGUGAAAUGCGUAGAUAUGCGGAGGAACACCGAUGGCGAAGGCAAUCCCCUGGGCCGGCACUGACGCUCAGGCACGAAAGCGUGGGGAGCAAACAGG
rnacentral:rRNA from 1 species